GAUGACCGCUGGCGGCGUGCCUAAUACAUGCAAGUCGAGCGAACGGACCGGCAGCUUGCUUCUCUGAUGUUAGCGGCGGACGGGUGAGUAACACGUGGAUAACCUACCUAUAAGACUGGGAUAACUUCGGGAAACCGGAGCUCACACCGGAUAAUAUUUUGAACCGCAUGGUUCAAAAGUGAAAGACGGUCUUGCUGUCACUUAUAGAUGGAUCCGCGCUGCAUUAGCUAGUUGGUAAGGUAACGGCUUACCAAGGCAACGAUGCAUAGCCGACAUGAGAGGGUGAUCAACCACCCUAGAACUGAGCAACGGCCCACACUACUACGGAAGGCACCAGUAGGGAAUCUUCGCAAAUGGACGAAAGCCUGACAUAGGAACGCAGCGUGUGUGAUGAAAGUCUACGAAUCGUAAAACACUGGUAGUAGGGAAGAACAUAGGUGUAAGUAAGUGUGCACAUCUUGACGUUACCUAAUCAGAAGUCCAGGGCUAACUACGUG
rnacentral:rRNA from 1 species